rnacentral:rRNA from 1 species
UACGGGGGGAGCAAGCGUUGUUCGGAUUUACUGGGCGUAAAGGGCGCGUAGGCGGCCAGCACAAGUCGGUUGUGAAAUCUCCGGGCUUAACUCGGAAAGGUCAACCGAUACUGUGCGGCUAGAGUGCGGAAGGGGCAACUGGAAUUCUUGGUGUAGCAGUGAAAUGCGUAGAUAUCAAGAGGACCACCAGUGGCGAAGGCGAGUCCCUGGACAAUACCUGACACUGAGGCACGAAAGCGUGGGGAGCAAACAGG